GACGAACGCUGGCGGCGUGCUUAACACAUGCAAGUCGAACGAUGAAGUUCUCUUCGGAGAACGGAUUAGUGGCGAACGGGUGAGGAACACGUGAAGAAUCUGCCCUCCACUUUGGGAUAACUCCGGGAAACCGGGGCUAAUACCGAAUAUUGAAGCAUAAGCGGCAUCGCUGAGCUUUGAAAGAAUUUCGGUGGAGGAUGACUUCGCGGCCUAUCAGUUUGUUGGUGAGGUAAUGGCUCACCAAGGCUACGACGGGUAUCCGGCCUGAGAGGGCGACCGGACACACUGGGACUGAGACACGGCCCAGACUCCUACGGGAGGCAGCAGUGGGGAAUAUUGGGCAAUGGACGCAAGUCUGACCCAGCGACGCCGCGUGAGGGAUGAAGGCCUUCGGGUUGUAAACCUCUUUCAGUAGGGAAGAAGCGAAAGUGACGGUACCUACAAAAGAAGCACCGGCUAACUAUGUGCCAGCAGCCGCGGUAAUACAUAGGGUGCAAGCGUUGUCCGGAUUUAUUGGGCGUAAAGAACUCGUAGGUGGUUUGUUACGUCGGAUGUGAAACUCUGGGGCUCAACCCCAGACCUGCAUCCGAUACGGGCAGACUAGAGUGUGGUAGGGGAGACUGGAAUUCCUGGUGUAGCGGUGGAAUGCGCAGAUAUCAGGAGGAACACCAAUGGCGAAGGCAGGUCUCUGGGCCAUUACUGACACUGAGGAGUGAAAGUGUGGGGAGCGAACAGGAUUAGAUACCCUGGUAGUCCACACCGUAAACGAUGGACGCUAGUUGUGGGGACCUUCCACGGUUUCUGCGACGCAGCUAACGCAUUAAGCGUCCCGCCUGGGGAGUACGAUCGCAAGAUUA
rnacentral:rRNA from 1 species